CCUACGGGGGGCAGCAGUGAGGAAUAUUGGUCAAUGGGCGGAAGCCUGAACCAGCCAAGUCGCGUGAGGGAAUAAGGCCCUACGGGUCGUAAACCUCUUUUGCCGGGGAGCAAGGGCCGGGACGCGUCCCGGCCCGGAGAGUACCCGGAGAAAAAGCAUCAGCUAACUCCGUGCCAGCAGCCGCGGUAAUACGGAGGAUGCGAGCGUUAUCCGGAUUUAUUGGGUUUAAAGGGUGCGUAGGCGGGCUUUUAAGCCAGCGGUAAAAAUUCGGGGCUCAACCCCGUCCGGCCGUUGAAACUGGGGGC
rnacentral:rRNA from 1 species